GGUGGUGAGAUUUUUUAUAAGUAUUGCUAGUGUGCCCUAGGAUUUGAUUUUUCUAUGUGUUAGAUUCAAAAAUAAAAUCCUAGGUUAUAUGAUAUCUGAAGAGUAUCUUCUUGGAGUCAUUCUGGUGGUAAGAUCGAAAGCAACUGAGCUUUGGCACGAUCAUAACAUAAGUUUGAAGCUGGUAGUGUUCUUAAGAAGACAAGACUGUGGUAGUGCAUCAGUUGGGAAGGACCUUGGGCAACUUCUGUAUGGAUCACC
rnacentral:lncRNA from 1 species